CAGGCCUAACACAUGCAAGUCGAGCGGACUUAUCCUUCGGGAUAGGUUAGCGGCGGACGGGUGAGUAACACGUAGGCAACCUGCCUGUAAGAUCGGGAUAACUACCGGAAACGGUAGCUAAGACCGGAUAGCUGGUUUCUCCGCAUGGGGGAAUCAUGAAACACGGGGCAACCUGUGGCUUACGGAUGGGCCUGCGGCGCAUUAGCUAGUUGGUGGGGUAACGGCCCACCAAGGCGACGAUGCGUAGCCGACCUGAGAGGGUGAUCGGCCACACUGGGACUGAGACACGGCCCAGACUCCUACGGGAGGCAGCAGUAGGGAAUCUUCCGCAAUGGGCGCAAGCCUGACGGAGCAACGCCGCGUGAGUGAUGAAGGUUUUCGGAUCGUAAAGCUCUGUUGCCAAGGAAGAACGCCUCGGAGAGUAACUGCUCUGAGGGUGACGGUACUUGAGAAGAAAGCCCCGGCUAACUACGUGCCAGCAGCCGCGGUAAUACGUAGGGGGCAAGCGUUGUCCGGAAUUAUUGGGCGUAAAGCGCGCGCAGGCGGUCUUUUAAGUUUGGUGUUUAAGCCCGGGGCUCAACCCCGGUUCGCACUGAAAACUGGGAGACUUGAGUGCAGGGGAGGAAAGCGGAAUUCCACGUGUAGCGGUGAAAUGCGUAGAGAUGUGGAGGAACACCAGUGGCGAAGGCGGCUUUCUGGACUGUAACUGACGCUGAGGCGCGAAAGCGUGGGGAGCAAACAGGAUUAGAU
rnacentral:rRNA from 1 species